rnacentral:rRNA from 1 species
CCCUUAGAUGUUCUGGGCCGCACGCGCGCUACACUGACGAAUGCAACGAGCUUAUAACCUUGGCCGAAAGGUCUGGGUAAUCUCCAAAUUUCGUCGUGAUGGGGAUAGAUUAUUGCAAUUAUUAAUCUUCAACGAGGAAUGCCUAGUAAGCGCAAGUCAUCAGCUUGCGUUGAUUACGUCCCUGCCCUUUGUACACACCGCCCGUCGCUCCUACCGAUUGAAUGGUCCGGUGAAGCGUUCGGACCGUGGCCUUUGGACGGUUCGCCGUCUGUUGGCUGCGGGAAGUUCGUUAAACCUUNUNAUUUACNGGAAGGAGAANUCGUANCA